GCCCUCGUAGAUCAACGGUAGAUCCCCUCCUUAUGUUAUCUGUUUUGGCGUGCCUGUUAUGGAGGUGGUGUGGGUUCGAGUCCCACCGAGGACA